GGAUUCCUUAAGUAAUUGCGAAUGAACAAGGAAAUGCUCAGCUUGAAAAAUGGGGCCUUUGGCUUUGAAUUGUAAUUUUGAAAUGUAUUGCCAAUGGAGGCGCAGGUGCAAGCCUAUUGAAAGAAAGCGUCAAUGAGGGUGAGAUUCCUUUUUGUCAUUUGCAGUCCUCCGUGCACGGUAUAUAUUUGACGAGUCACACUCCUCGGCAUUGGAAUGCAAAGUGGGUGGUAAAUUCCAUGUAAAGGUAAAUAUAUUAUUGAGACUGAUAGCAAACAAGUACCAUGAGGGAAAUAUGAAAAGGACUUUGAAAAGAGAAUUAAAAGAGUCUGCAUUUGCUGAACAGAAAGCAAACAGAAUUGAUUUUACUUGGUGAGAUUGUUGUGCUUACUCUAUCAUUUAUAUGGUUGAUGUGGGUGCGAUGGUUCUUACCUUGAAUGUCAGCUUCUAUUUCUGCAAAUCAUUACCCUUGCACAUGAAUGGUAAUUUGCCUGCGGGUAUUGGAAUGCAUGUGUUUGCAAUGAUUUGUGAUUUGACGCAUGUGUUUGGUGAAAUUUGUAUAUGCUCUUUUGUCGAAGGGGAAAGCUUACUUUUUUGAGCAUUGCAAGCCCUUACACAUCAGUGCUGGCAAAAUGUUUCUGCUUGACCCGUCUUGAAACACGGACCAAGGAGUCUAACAGAUGUGCAAGUUCGUGGGUGGCAAACCUUUUUGCGCAAUGAAAGUAUUGGCUGGGAUACUUGCACCAGCAGCCGACCAAUUAGCAGACAGAGGUUUGAGUUUGAGCAUAUCUAUUAGGACCCGAAAGAUGGUGAACUAUGCCUGAACAGAAUGAAUUCAGAGGAAACUCUGAUGGAGGUUCGUAUCGAUACUGACGUGCAAAUCGUUCGUCAUACUUGGGUAUAGGGGCGAAAGACUAAUCGAACCAUCUAGUAGCUGGUUCCCUCCGAAGUUUCCCUCAGGAUAGCUGGAGUUUCACAGUUUUAUCAGGUAAAGCGAAUGAUUAGAGGAAUUGGGGACACGCUGUCCUUGACCUAUUCUCAAACUUUAAAUGGGUAAGAUGCAAUGGUUGCUUUAUUGAACUUUUGGAAUAAAUGGCAAUAUCAGGUGGGCCAUUUUUGGUAAGCAGACCUGGCGAUGAGGGAUGAACCUAACGUUGGGUUAAGGUGCUUAAUUGCUUGCUCAUUAGAUACCAGAAAGGGUGUUNNUUCAUUUUAACAGCAGGACGGUGGUCAUGGAAGUCGAAAUCCGYUAAGGAGUGUGUAACAACUCACCUGCCGAAUGGACUAGCCCCGAAAAUGGAUGGCGCUCAAGCGGGUGACCGAUACCCAACCACUGUUGCAAAUAGUGUCAGUGUGUAGGAGGGCAUGGCGGUUUGUGAUGCAGCCUUUG
rnacentral:rRNA from 1 species